GUCCCGUUACCAGGCCAAAAAAACAAAACAAAAAUUGAUAUUGUUAUGUUUUGUUUGAUUACAUUUUUCUUAUUUCUUGAGUUAAAUUUUGUGUACACUUUUAAUGAAUAUUGGGUAGGUAUUUAAAUCUAAAUAGCGAAAUAGUGUACAGUAUUCAGUACAAAUAUGGAUUAUUUAAUUAGAAAUAAUAAUAAAUCCUGCUAUAAAACACUGAACGUGAUAGAUUCAAUAUCUGAUCCACUGGAAGGCUGCAGUGAUGAUCAUGGUGAGAAGUUUUAUCUACUGGAUAAUGUAGUGUUUGCCGAGCCCCUGAAACCUGUGAAUACUGAAGGAAGUAGUGAAAUAAAAGACAUUGAAUAUACGGUCAUUGGUGAGGUUAUUAUUGAGAAAAGAAAAGGCAAUAAGAAUAAGAUUUACCAUGUCAAGAUUGACGAGUCUUGUAAAUGUCCGCAGAACUCUUGUGGCAAAUCUUUUAAAAGUACUGCGUUAGCAAAGGCACAUAUACGCAAAGUGCAUUGCGCUGUUCGUCAGUUUGUUUGUGAAAUAUGUGGGGCUGACUUCACGGCUCGAUAUUUGCUAAAACGUCAUUAUCUUGUACACGGCGGUAAAGUUGAAUGCCCCGUUUGCAAGAAAUUUUUGAGCGGACGAACCAAUAUGUCCGUUCAUCUACAAUCGCACACGGAUGAAAGGAGACACAAAUGUAUAGAUUGCGACAAGAGUUUCAAUAGAAGCUCCCAUCUCAAGCGACAUGUACAGUCAGCACAUAAAUAGAGGUCAAUGCAACGGGACAUAUUGGGGCAGGAAGAUAUUAUGUAUACGUACCCUAUUUUACUUUCAUUGACCAGCAUAACCAUUGUGAACCACAGUCGACUGAGCAAUACAGUCCCAGUUCAGCGGACUUCUUGCGGAAUGGACUGUGUGAGGACAAGGAAACUAACCUGAUGAAACUUCGACACUUAACCCGGUUCUUGUUUGUAAUCCAACUAGUUCAAGCGGUUUUCCUCCGACCGAGUUCACUUAAUAGGCAUCAAGUGCGUGCGAGGCCGUGAAGGCAUUGGCGAAACUUUUUCUGUCCUAUAAAAUGGCGCGGUGCAAAGAAGUGGGGAAAAGAGAGAACGUGAUAGGAGAAAGACUAGGAUAGAUAGAUAGUGGCGUUAACACAAGUACCUACAUACGCAUUGAAAUCUAUCUAUGUGUGUAAAUUAAAAUGCAGUCUUUAAUUAUCUGUUUGUCCUCUAUAGCCUCCGAAAUGAACUAAUUUUGAUAAAACUUUGAUGAGUUUCUCUGCAUACGCCCGCGAAGUUUUAGGGGUAAGUAGAGAAGUAGUUACCACACCGGGUAGCUCGUGUUAAAUAAAGACAUUUGGGUAUAAA